rnacentral:rRNA from 1 species
GAAGAAGUCGCCGAAUUUAUAGAUUUCUGGCACUCUCACUUUGAAACACUGACCAAGGAGUCGAUACACAGCGCA